CAGUCGGACGGGAUUGGAGAGCUUGCUUUCCAUGAGAGUGGCGCACGGGUGCGUAACACGUAUGUAACCUACCUUGAUCAGGGGGAUAGCCUCUCGAAAGAGAGAUUAAGACCGCAUAACAUUGCAAUGUGGCAUCACAAAGCAAUCAAAUAUUUAUAGGAUCAAGAUGGGCAUGCGGAACAUUAGCUAGUUGGUAAGGUAACGGCUUACCAAGGCUACGAUGUUUAGGGGAUCUGAGAGGAUGACCCCCCGCACUGGUACUGAGACACGGACCAGACUCCUACGGGAGGCAGCAGUAAGGAAUAUUGGUCAAUGGACGCAAGUCUGAACCAGCCAUGCCGCGUGCAGGAAGACGGCCCUACGGGUUGUAAACUGCUUUUAUACCGGAAUAAACCUUGAUACGUGUAUCAAGCUGAAUGUACGGUAAGAAUAAGGAUCGGCUAACUCCGUGCCAGCAGCCGCG
rnacentral:rRNA from 1 species